AGAGCGAACGCUGGCGGCAGGCUUAACACAUGCAAGUCGAGCGGGCGUAGCAAUACGUCAGCGGCAGACGGGUGAGUAACGCGUGGGAACGUACCUUUUGGUUCGGAACAACCCAGGGAAACUUGGGCUAAUACCGGAUAAGCCCUUACGGGGAAAGAUUUAUCGCCGAAAGAUCGGCCCGCGUCUGAUUAGCUAGUUGGUGAGGUAAUGGCUCACCAAGGCGACGAUCAGUAGCUGGUCUGAGAGGAUGAUCAGCCACAUUGGGACUGAGACACGGCCCAAACUCCUACGGGAGGCAGCAGUGGGGAAUAUUGGACAAUGGGCGCAAGCCUGAUCCAGCCAUGCCGCGUGAGUGAUGAAGGCCCUAGGGUUGUAAAGCUCUUUUGUGCGGGAAGAUAAGUGACGGUACCGCAAGAAUAAGCCCCGGCUAACGUUCGCGCCAGCAGCCGC
rnacentral:rRNA from 1 species